rnacentral:lncRNA from 1 species
CAUGUCUUUUUCCAGCUAGGUAGCUCCUUUCUUUUUGUCACCAAAGGUGAUGCUGCAUUAUAUGCACGUAGUUUGUUCAUCCAGGCUACCUGUUGAAGGACAUCUUGUUUGAUCCCAGUCUUUGAGAAUCAUGAAGGGAGCUGCGGUACAAUUUUGUGUGGACAGAAAGAAGUUUUCUCCUCAUCGAGCCAUCAGGUACCCAGUGGACAGACAGAGGCCAGUGCAGCCAGGCAACAGUGCUCGAGCUGACUCUGAUGCAUACCACAUCCAGAAAAAACAAUCAACGACAACAAAUGCAAUGACUGAUCUUGAGGUCGCCGACACAGAGCUUUGGGGUCCUGACUUGUCCCAAAGCAGGGACUUUAGCGAUGUUCGCUUGUUUAUUGCCAGUGUUGUGAAAGUGUGCAAAUCUGGCCAUUGUGACUAAUCCUCUUCAGCUGCGCCUCCAGCCACAGCUUCCGUGUUCUCCUCCUCUGCCUUUACUUCCUCAGGGCCCAGCCCUGUCUGACUGCGUACAAUAUUUCUACCUAACUUAGCUGUCUACAUCCAGGGGAGCCCACCAGCUGUUACAAAGGUGAAUAAAGAAAC